rnacentral:lncRNA from 1 species
UUUUUUUUUUUUUUUUUUUUUUUGGUCCUUUUAGGGUCACAUUCACAGCAUAUGCAAGUUCCCAGGCUAGUGGUCGAAUCAGAGCUGCAGCUGCCGGCCUACACCACAGCUCACAGCAAUGCCGGAUCCUUAACCCACUUAGCAAGGCCAGGGAUCGAACCUGCAACCUCAUGGUUCCUAGUCAGAUUCGUUAACCACUGCGCCACGACGGGAACUCCUUGAUUAGCUGACCGAGGGCUUGUCUGUCAAAGAGACCAUCCCAGGAAGAAAACCAAUUAACUUGUUUGGUUUUCAUGGUAGAAUGGAACCAAACAGUGGGAAAAAAGCAAUCUAUCUACACACAGCUCCCUCUCCUCCUCUGCACUGGCCCUUGGCUUGGCUCCUUGGUAACUUGUCUCCAACAUCACCUGGUAAAAAACUUAUUUGCAGCAAAGCAAAUACUUGUGAACUUAAUCUGACCUCUGUUUGCUGUCUCUCUGCAAAGAAACCAAAAUAUGUAACUCUUAUCUCAUUGAAUCCCUAGACUAUCAAAAGACACAAAUCCAAAAAAAAAAAAAAAGGGAGGGGAAAUAAACUGAUGUCAAAAGAGAUAAAUACAAUGUGUUUCCACGUAUUACUAUACAGUUAGAGUCAUAUGGCCCUUAGGUACCAAGCACCAUAGGAUCACUGCUUAAAAUGUCCAACACUGCUUAUCCAGAUGAUUAAUUUCAUAAAUAAAAAUGAGUAAUACCUCCAAGUCAUCUUUUCUAAGAUUAAGGUCCCUGUAGCAGCCUUAGGCAACCAAUCAGAAAUUUUCAUUUAAAAUAAGUUUUCUUGCUAGUUUGAAAUAGUGAUUCACUCUGCCUCUCUCACCACUAACCAUCUGAGCUACCUAAAAAUCCAAACGGCAACAACCGUACAAUCAAUUGAGCAGUAUCAUAAAAUCACAUCCUCCCUGAGCAAGUGAACUUCCUCAAUACUUUGUAGUGAAUGGGGAAGGACCCAAGCAGAGAAUUUACAUCCUAAGCCCAGAAAGGAUGGGAGUACAACGUACUGCUCAAAAUACUCUAGGAGAGGCGAAAUGCAGCGCAAGUUCUAGAUAGACAAAAAUUAAAUGUGAUUAUUAAAGGCAUAUGCUCCAUGGCUCCCAGUGCCCUGAGAAUUAACUCCAUCCAAGUUGUUUCAUAUUUAUUAACCACCAAAAAAAAAAAAAAAAGUAGCUCCCUAUUUUCACUUUCCAGAUAUAGAGGGUCCUCCACCCUCUUGGCCUUCCCACAAGAAGCAAUUUGAAAAUAGGUAUCUAUCUAUGAAGGGCCUACUUAUCUUUGUCUCUGGGCCUGUCCAGUCAGGGAUGAGAUAUGCAGUUCUUUUAAGAAUGGCACAAAAACAUGAUCCAAGGAAUACACAAGGAGAGGCAGGACUGGGUAUGCCUCACUAGAUCCAUGCUUACCCAAGGCGGCAGAGUCUCUGGCAAAAUUUUCAUGUUCCUUUUUAGAAACUGUCGAGGUACGUGAAGUCUCUUAUCACAUCAAAGGCCUAUGGCUGCCAUUUCUGAUGGAGCUGAGGAUUUCCACUCAUCACUCCUUCACUGCCCCGCUUGACCAGAAGGUAUCCCAAGUUCUUUCCACUCAACUGGGAAAUCUCAAUAUGAGUCUCUUUCCGCCAGUGUCAGGAAAAACAGAAGCAAUCUUACAUAAAAUAAAAAUGCUUACCCUGUGAAAAAUAUGGUUGGGAAAUGAGGAUUUUUAAAUGCCUUAUAAUGUGAUUAUGGCUACUAGCAUGAAAAGGGAUUAUUCUUAACUGAAAUAGAACAUUAAGGAGCAAAACUCUUAGGCAGACAAAAUACAAACCAAGCUGGCAGCACUUCCCUACCUGGAGAGCACUCAUCAAUCAUUCUGGCUGUCUUAUAAUAAGGCUUCAGCAAACUCACCAGUGAAAUGAGAUUGUGGCCAAUUCCUAUGCAUUUAAAGGAGGACAGAUAUGUCACCCUGUGCGAAACAUGUCACCAUGUGAUCAGAACGACAUUUAAUAAUGUGAAGCUGGACAAUAAAUGUUAGUGACAAAAACCUUGGAAUUGGGUGCCUCUGAAAACAGACGACUUAGGAUGUUCCUGAAAUACACUCUGUACCCUCAACGCGUUUUGGCUUCUUCUAGAGUGAGCAUGUGCAAAAGGACCUGGGAGGCACCAAAGACGUGCGAGUGACAUCAUGCUCAGACGUGAUGGUCAGGGGAUGAGAGACACAUGUAAUUAAGAAAAAAAAAAAUGUUCUGUGUAAACACGGUAAACCAGCUAUAAUGGAAAAAAUAAAAACCAUUAUAAAAUAAUUAAAUAAAAUAGCCAAAAAAAAAAGAAAGAAAGAAAGAAAAAAAUGCACCCUAGAAAGACAGCCACUGCACCAUAUCCAAUCAAAAGCUCUUGCCUCUGGGAAUUUUUAGUACAGCUGCUAUCAAAAGGACAGGAAAAAAAAAAAAAAAAAACAGGUUUCUGCCUUUCACGGGAAAAGAAUGAUUUCCAAAUUAUGACUUUUGAGAGCUCAAGAGAAGGGAUAACUUAUUCGUAGAAAAUGUGAAACACAUGGUUUUCUCAGAGGGCUUUUGUCCACCCUGCACAGUUAUUUCGCUUAUAUGAAAGAGACAAAUUAUUAAGAUUUAAACACAAUACCCUUCAGAACAUAACAUACAUUUCUGCUUACAGCCUGAGGGCCGAGGCUUUAAAUAAUAACUGCAAAGGUUAGCCAGGAAACACCGUGCUCCUCACCCCAGAGACGAGCAGAGCAGUUGCAUCCCGCACACCAGCGAAGGCAGCUGGAGGGACGCAGCUGGCAACGGCAUCUCCAUCUCUGCCCAGUGGACCCAGAACCAGAAUGUGUCGAGAAAUGUGAGCCAACCGAAAAGGCCAGGGAAAAUGGGAAACACGGGGACCCGGCCACCCAAUGUAGGGUAGGGACCUUCUGGCCUUUUUGUCAGAGGGCUUCUUCUUUAUCCUGGUGGCUCUUAACCCC